rnacentral:rRNA from 1 species
CACGCCGUAAACGAUGGAUACUAGGUGUGGGAGGUAUCGACCCCUUCCGUGCCGUCGUUAACACAGUAAGUAUCCCACCUGGGGAGUACGGCCGCAAGGCUGAAACUCAAAGGAAUUGACGGGGGCCCGCACAAGCAGUGGAGUAUGUGGUUUAAUUCGAUGCAACGCGAAGAACCUUACCGGGGCUUGACAUCCCGCGCAAUCCCGAGAGAUCGGGAGUUCCCUUUUGGGACGCGGUGACAGGUGG